UAAAAAUGGAAGAGAUAAUCCACAACAAGAAAUACAAAUGAAGCUUGAAAAACAGUUUAAACCCAACCCCAAUUCUAUAUCCAUGUUCACCAAUAUUCACAAACACCCAAACCUACAUCUAGAAACAUUUCUCACUUUACCAUCCUAGUUCUUUCUUCCUCUCCCACGUAUCUAUAUCCACAAAGUGAGAUUCUCUCAAAGCCAUCUCCAUUAGCAUUGCCGAACAUUUACCUAGUUCUACAUCCUUUUACUUGUCAUACAAGGAAAAUUAUAUUGAUUCCCCAAGUAAUCACCUUUGAGAAGAUCCUGAGGAAGUAACUCCAUAACUAAUCAAGGAGAGGUAAGACUUGAGGACACAUUUAACAUAAAAUAGUAAACCUUUAUUCAUAAAUACAGACACUCUUGAUCCCUUUGUAAGGCACAUACAUUAACUAGCAGGAAAGACACACAAAUAUUUGAGACCAAAAGUGCAAAACUACAAAUGGAGAGCUAGAUCUAAAUCUACUUGAACUUGCUCUUCAGCAUCAGAAGAAACCCCUGAGCCAGAAAGGAAACUUCCAGACCCUUAAAGAAAAGUAGUUCUUUUUUCUGAGACUUCUCUAUCUGCACAGGAGGUGGAGAGGUAGCCUUUGGCCUUUUUGAUGUUUUUGUCAUGGAAGCAUCCCCAAGGACAUCACUCACGUAAGGCCUCUUAUUCCCUUCACAAUUCAAGGCACCUCUCCUGUCACACCGAUCGACUCUUUUUUGGCCCAAACACUAACAUGGACCCCAAGGAAAGACACUGAAGCCAAAGUCGGGAAAUUGAUUUGAGCCAAAGACCUGGACAAGUAUUCAUGAUAGCAAAUGUAGGAUACGGAAAUUUAAAACACUCGAGGAUCUGCAAGGGAUUUUCAGAGAUGAACGGCAUAGCAUCUGUUGGAAUCUCAAUCCCUAUAUUAAAGGGAUUAUUAUUUCUUUCCCCUUAUAUAUAUCUUGUUUCCCAUUUGUAUUAGUUUUCAUUAAAAUAGGUUUUUAUUGUAAAAUUAGGAACCUUGUAUAUAAAUAGGCGUAUAUACGAAGUCAUUGAUACAUAUAAAAAAUACAGAAAUUUUUCUCAAAUACAUUAGUUUCAUUAUGGUAUCGGAGCUUUUGAUUCAUUAGGGCAGGUUUUAGUA
rnacentral:misc_RNA from 1 species